UACGUAGGGUGCGAGCGUUGUCCGGAAUUAUUGGGCGUAAAGGGCUCGUAGGCGGUUUGUCGCGUCGGGAGUGAAAACACGGGGGCUUAACUCUGUGCUUGCUUCCGAUACGGGCAGACUAGAGGGAUGCAGGGGAGAACGGAAUUCCUGGUGUAGCGGUGGAAUGCGCAGAUAUCAGGAGGAACACCGGUGGCGAAGGCAGGGUCUCU
rnacentral:rRNA from 1 species